GAUUGCAGGCUGCAACUCGCCUGCAUGAAGUCGGAAUUGCUAGUAAUCGUAGGUCAGCAUACUACGGUGAAUACGUUCCCGGGUCUUGUACACACCGCCCGUCACACCAUGGGAGUCGGAAAUGCCCGAAGUCUGUGACCCAACCUUAGGGAGGGAGCAGCCGAAGGCAGGUCGGAUGACUGGGGUGAAGUCGUAACAAGGUACC
rnacentral:rRNA from 1 species